ensembl:lncRNA
UGGACAACAUGUUUUAUUGAGAGUUGCAAAGAAAAGCCAUAUCUCAGACUGGCCAAUAAAAAGAAAAGAUUAAGACGGGCAAAAGAACACAGACACUGGACAGAGGAACUCUGCCUAGAAGGCCAGCAUCCCGGAGUCGCCUCUUCACUGUUGAUGUUGAGACUGGACAGAGGAACUCUGCCUAGAAGGCCAGCAUCCCAGAGUCGCCUCUUCACUGUUGACGUUGAGACUGGACAGAGGAACUCUGCCUAGAAGGCCAGCAUCCCGGAGCCAGCAUCUCACUGUUGACGUUGAGACUGGACAGAGGAACUCUGCCUAGGCCAGCAUCCC